GAAGCAACAAAUGCCCUGCUUCCAGGAAAAGCCUCUAAGCAUCAGGUAACAUCAAAUCGUACCCCAAACCGACACAGGUGGUCAGGUAGAGAAUACCAAGGCGCUUGAGAGAACUCGGGUGAAGGAACUAGGCAAAAUGGUGCCGUAACUUCGGGAGAAGGCACGCUGAUAUGUAGGUGAAGCGACUUGCUCGUGGAGCUGAAAUCAGUCGAAGAUACCAGCUGGCUGCAACUGUUUAUUAAAAACACAGCACUGUGCAAACACGAAAGUGGACGUAUACGGUGUGACGCCUGCCCGGUGCCGGAAGGUUAAUUGAUGGGGUUAGCGGUAACGCGAAGCUCUUGAUCGAAGCCCCGGUAAACGGCGGCCGUAACUAUAACGGUCCUAAGGUAGCGAAAUUCCUUGUCGGGUAAGUUCCGACCUGCACGAAUGGCGUAAUGAUGGCCAGGCUGUCUCCACCCGAGACUCAGUGAAAUUGAACUCGCUGUGAAGAUGCAGUGUACCCGCGGCAAGACGGAAAGACCCCGUGAACCUUUACUAUAGCUUGACACUGAACAUUGAGCCUUGAUGUGUAGGAUAGGUGGGAGGCUUUGAAGUGUGGACGCCAGUCUGCAUGGAGCCGACCUUGAAAUACCACCCUUUAAUGUUUGAUGUUCUAACGUUGGCCCGUUAUCCGGGUUGCGGACAGUGUCUGGUGGGUAGUUUGACUGGGGCGGUCUCCUCCUAAAGAGUAACGGAGGAGCACGAAGGUUGGCUAAUCCUGGUCGGACAUCAGGAGGUUAGUGCAAUGGCAUAAGCCAGCUUGACUGCGAGCGUGACGGCGCGAGCAGGUGCGAAAGCAGGUCAUAGUGAUCCGGUGGUUCUGAAUGGAAGGGCCAUCGCUCAACGGAUAAAAGGUACUCCGGGGAUAACAGGCUGAUACCGCCCAAGAGUUCAUAUCGACGGCGGUGUUUGGCACCUCGAUGUCGGCUCAUCACAUCCUGGGGCUGAAGUAGGUCCCAAGGGUAUGGCUGUUCGCCAUUUAAAGUGGUACGCGAGCUGGGUUUAGAACGUCGUGAGACAGUUCGGUCCCUAUCUGCCGUGGGCGCUGGAGAACUGAGGGGGGCUGCUCCUAGUACGAGAGGACCGGAGUGGACGCAUCACUGGUGUUCGGGUUGUCAUGCCAAUGGCACUGCCCGGUAGCUAAAUGCGGAAGAGAUAAGUGCUGAAAGCAUCUAAGCACGAAACUUGCCCCGAGAUGAGUUCUCCCUGACUCCUUGAGAGUCCUGAAGGAACGUUGAAGACGACGACGUUGAUAGGCCGGGUGUGUAAGCGCAGCGAUGCGU
rnacentral:rRNA from 1 species